rnacentral:rRNA from 1 species
AGGUACCCGUACCGUAAACGGACACACGUAGUCGGGUUGAAUAUACUCAGGCGCUUGAGUGAAUCACGGUUAAGGAACUAGGCAAAUUGACCCUGUAACUUCGGGAUAAAGGGUCCCUACCCGGUGACGGGAGGGCGCAGAGAAUAGGUCCAGGCAACUGUUUAACAAAAACACAGGGCUGUGCAAAAUUGAAAGAUCACGUAUACAGCCUGACACCUGCCCGGUGCUGGAAGGUUAAGAGGAGAUGUCAUCGCAAGAGAAGCAUUGAAUUGAAGCCCCAGUAAACGGCGGCCGUAACUAUAACGGUCCUAAGGUAGCGAAAUUCCUUGUCGGGUAAGUUCCGACCUGCACGAAUGGUGUAAUGAUCUGGACACUGUCUCAACCGUGAGCUCAGUGAAAUUGUAGUAUCGGUGAAGAUGCCGAUUACCCGCGAUGGGACGAAAAGACCCCGUGAACCUUUACUAUAGCUUAACAUUGAAUUUGGGUAAUUGAUGUGUAGGAUAGGCCGGAGACUUUGAAGCAGG